UCCACAGCUCAAGAGACUCAAGUCCUCUGGCCACAGAACAAGUGCAACACAGCAAGAACUGAUGCAAGUUUCCUGAUCCCUGGUUCCUUAACAAUGUAUCUCAGCCCUGUCCUGGAGAGACCACCUUUAGGGAGUUUAGUCUGGAAGGCACAUUUAAUCCCUAGCGCCU
ensembl:misc_RNA